rnacentral:rRNA from 1 species
CGCGUGAGGAACCUGCCUUUCAGAGGGGGACAACAGUUGGAAACGACUGCUAAUACCGCAUAAUAUAUGUUUGUCGCAUGGCAGAUAUAUCAAAGAUUUAUCGCUGAGAGAUGGCCUCGCGUCUGAUUAGCUAGUUGGUAGGGUAAUGGCCUACCAAGGCGACGAUCAGUAGCCGGACUGAGAGGUUGGCCGGCCACAUUGGGACUGAGAUACGGCCCAGACUCCUACGGAAGGCAGCAG